AUUGAACGCUGGCGGCAUGCCUUACACAUGCAAGUCGAACGGCAGCACGGGAGCAAUCCUGGUGGCGAGUGGCGAACGGGUGAGUAAUACAUCGGAACGUGCCCAAUCGUGGGGGAUAACGCAGCGAAAGCUGUGCUAAAUACCGCAUACGAUCUACGGAUGAAGGCAGGGGAUCGCAAGACCUUGCGCGAAUGGAGCGGCCCGAUGGCAGAUUAGGUAGUUGGUGAGGUAAAGGCUCACCAAGCCGUCGAUCUGUAGCUGGGUUUGAGAGGCCGACCAGCCACACUGGGGACUGAGACACGGCCCCAGACUCCUACGGGAGGGCAGCAGUGGGGGAAUUUUUGGACAAUGGGCCGAAAAGCCUUGAUCCAGCCCUUGCCCGCGGGGCGGGGACGAAGGCCCUUCGGGGUUGGUAAACUGCUUUUUGUACCGGAACGAAAACCGCCUUUUUUCUAAAAAAAGAGGGGCUAAUGACGGUAACCGUAAGAAUAAAGCCCCCGGUUAAACUUACCGGCCCAGCAGGCCCCGGUAAUACGAAGGGGGGCAAGCCGUUAAUUGGAAAUUACUGGGGGGAAAAGCGUUGCCAGGCGGGUUUUGUAAAGAGGUUUGGGAAAUCCCCCCGGGCCUCAAUCUGGGGAACUGGCUUUUGGGAUUGCAUAGCUUGAGUAU
rnacentral:rRNA from 1 species